rnacentral:sRNA from 1 species
GUGGAUAUUCCCCAUUGUUCCUAUAGAAUGAUAUUAGACUUGAUGAUGUUGUCGUGAGCCGGCCACGGGAUGGGUUUGGGGGUGUGGUACAGUAUGAUCUAGGGAAGAAGUUACAGAAUGGCCGAUUUCGAAAGACAGGGCAACUCAACACCCCACCUACCCACCCGAGAAACUCCUAGGAGCCAUUCCUGAGAUGCGAAGGCUCUACAAUGACAAAAGAAAGCCAGACAGAAUCAUGAAGCAUCUUCAGUGCAUGAAUGAUAUGGAAAACUAUCAACAGCCAGCAAUUGACUGGUUAUACAGGGUCGACUAUCCAGUUGUGACCGGUUGUUGAAUGCCCAGAACACCAGAACCACCACAUUGCCCAUGUUCACUAUGGAACUAUUGCAUCAGGGGAUUCUAUUCUCAAAGAUGCCAUUAUGCACAAUGCAUAUGCAUAAGAUUCAGAGCUAAAUGCUUUAUGUUUUGAGAUGGAAGCUGCAGGUCUGAUGAAUAACCUCCUCUGUCUUGUAUGAAAUUACAGCAGUCUAUAGUGACAAAUGUGUCAAAUGGGUUUUUUUGAUGUUUCCCACUGUAAUUACUUAAUUCCACUUACAGAC